UAUAUAUAUAUAUAUAUAUAGUACUGCUAUUCAGUGGGUGAACCUUUAAAACAAAUUGCAAUCAAAUGCUAUUUUUUAUUUAUUUUUUAUUCUGCUGCAUUUUUUAGUUUUAUCUUCUAUGAUGUAAGACCCGGAUUUAUUUCUGACAAAUGUUAUUACUUCCUGUUGGAAGAAAGAUCCAUAUAUUUCUGUAGAUCACGCCAUGAUGGUUUUUCUAUGGGCUGUAGUUAUAAAACAAACAUCGUCAUCCUUGACACUUUUUGAUUUGCAAGGCGAUUCAAAUGUUUUUGUAUUAAGUACAAUUCCCACAGUUUACUCCAAUCAUUUAACUUGAGGGCCAAGGUGUAUGUGCAGUUGCUUGAAAAUACUAUGAGAGUAAAUGCAUGGCCCAAAAAACUGCCAGUAAAUUUUUGUGUGGUUUUAUUUUUGUACUCUCAUAUGCAUGUACUGAUAUGCAAAAAAAAAAAAAAAAAAGCUAAUUGACUUUUAUUAGUAGUACAGAAAUAAGAAAAUUUAAUAUUUUUGAAACUAUGGCUUGACACCAUAGAUUAUGCAUUUGGUGUCCAUUGCUCAUUAAGUCGGUCAUUAAGCAUGGAAAUCCCAUUUAACUUAAAUUAAUGUUUAAUGAAAUGCCAUGCUAUUCAAUGUAUAAGUUAACAGUGUACUCCCAAGUAAUUUAAAAAUACAUAUUUUCUACUUAGUGUUUUCUUGAUUGCCUGCAAUACAGGUCUCUAACACCCAGCAUUAUCUAUUUGAUCAUAUUUUUAUCUUUCCGCCUAUACUUUAUGUAAAAAAAAUGCCUAAAAGGGAUUUAUAUACGAGAACAAAAUUGGGAAAAUGUGGGAAAGUUUUUAUUCUCAAAUUUGCUACUAUUUAUGUAGUCAAGUAAAAUGGUCUCAAAUGGCACAUUGUUUGCCUACUUUUAUACAUAUCUGCAACAAAAUAAACAAGAAUCAGUUCACAAUUCUACUUUGGAGCACAGGGAUGUGUUACUGGCCAGAUUUUUUUUUCUCAUACCUCAUCAUAAACAGGUGUUUUCAUUGGACCCCAUUCACACAGAAUCACUUUUAUGCAUAGUCCCCAAUUAUAUUGUGCUGCUGGAAAGGAAACUUUCAAAAUGUCUUAAGAACAAUCUCUCUGUAACAAUGGGACUUGCUGACCGUUAAUUACAAGGAGGAAAAAGACUGAGAUACAUGGGGGAGGUAAUGGAACAACUGCUGUAGAGUACAGUAGUCCCAGUCCUCUGGUACUUGAAGAUUCCAGAUCACAACAAAUAUUAGUAACCAGUACCUGUACAUUAUAUUCCUACCAUCCAGCAUGAGGGUACUGUAGAGCUGAUUGACUGCUGUUGCUCAAUUUGUCAGUGUUUGUUUAUUUUUUUCUAAACUUUAUUUUAUUGAGGUUGUAGAGUUUGCUAAUGGUACAGAAACAUUUGAGUAAUGGGAUGGGAUUAUACAAGUUCAUUGCACUUGUUAAGUAAACCUAAUUUUAGUAUAUUAGCAAGAAGAGAAAUCCGUAAAAAGUGAGAGAGCAUGUUAUAACCAGCAUGCAACAGCUCCUAAGAUGAAUUAUAUAUGUAGUUGGAGCAUUUCUGGCAUUGAUGGAGAGAUCUCAUUUUGUAUAUCAAAGAGUAUGGAUAAACCAAUGGGUUCUAUGACUAAAAAAUAAAUCUAAACAGUAUCCCAUUGUAAAUUGAGAAACACAAUUACACAGAAGGUAGGCUCUGGAGCUAAUACUAAAGUACUUAAAGGAACACUAUAUGUAUUCCUAAUGCUAUAGAGCUCUAGUCACCGUUUUGGUUACUAGGGUCCCAUUCCACUGCGAAUAAAUGGUUAACCAUUUAUUCGUUUACCUUAAUCUAGUGCCAGGCUCCCUCAGGCACUGAUGACCUCUCCUCCUCCAUCGACCUCCGCUUCUGAGUGGAGCCGAAUGCGCAUGUGCAGCCAGAGGCGAGUGUGCAUUUAAACCUGCCCAUAGGAAAGCAUUACUCAAUUCUUCCCUAUGGGGAUAUUUUUUGACACUAGACACCGUGAGCAAGUCCAUUGUCAAAUAAGUGUGAUUUACUCUGUGUAAAUCGCGGAAGUAGCCUCUAGUGGCUGUCAGGCAGACAGCCACUAGAGGCUGGAUUAACCCUUAGUGUAAACAGUGUUUUUUCUGAAACUAAGUUUUCAGCUGCAGGGUUAAAAAUAGAGGGACCUGGCACACAGACCACUUCAUUUUGCUGAAGUGGUCUGGGUGCCUGUAGUGGUCCUUUAAUGAGAUGUACUAUACUUAAAUUGUAUCUCAUGGAAAACAAAAGGAUAACAAAACAAAUACCUUGAUAGUAUUGCAUGUAAUUUAGACUAUACACACUAGGAUGAUCCCCAGUGGGGGGAGGGGGGAAAGGGGGGGGGGUGGGUGAAGCAGGGUUUUCUUUGUUGAAGGCCUCAGUGAACAUCUCGUCCUGAGCUGGGAAAUUGGACAUCUCACCUGUCCGUCGGACUAGGCUGCAUAAACAGAAGAGGUAAGUGCCCUUGAGUACAGAGCACUCCAGGCACAAAAUAUUUCUAAGGUAUGUUUGCUGUCGUCUGAGGUCUUGUCUGAUGAGAUUUUGGGCUGUAAACAGUCCAGUUAGCUUUAGAAUGGAGGAGGUACAAAUUAGUUUGUCCAGUCAUCUUGACUGUUAGGCCCCGGCUCCCAAUUCGUAUGUCGCUGACAAAACACCUUGUACUUGCUGGUGGAGAUAUUAAGAAGUACUCACUAUUCAAACAGUAGAAAAUAAUUGGACUUUUGUGAUGUAACAAAGUUAUGUGAAAAAUGAGUAAAAUAGCUUUUGUUUUUGUCUAUUGCCUUCUCAGAGAAUUUCCACUAAGAAAUAUGAUCCUGUAUACGGUGCUGUUCCUAAUUUUUUAUGUGUAUAAUGCACACUGUGGCUUAUCAUUAUUUUUCUAUCACCAUCACUCACUGUCAAGCUGAGUUUUACCUGUCAGUAUAUCAUAUCAUCUCUGAUUCCUUUAAGGUAACAUAACUUGUUCUUUCAAAGUCACGGAUCCAUAAAAUGGUAGCGAUGUUGCAUAGGACUAAGUGAUACUAAUUCUUAUUGACAUUUUAAUCUUUAAUGCUGAAUGUCCGAGUGCUAAUGUGGAUUAGACAUACUUAUUUGUAGCAGUGGACUGAACACAUCCAGAGUAUGUAUUAGGAGCUUUUAUAAUCUCCCUAUUUUCAUAUUUACAAUUAAAUAUCCGCAAUUAAAGGAGCUUAAAGAAUCUACAAAGAAACCUUUCUACUUUUAUUAGUAUUGACACAAUACUAGACUGCUCUUGGAAAUUUACCUGCCGUAUGUUCUUUGUUUUUCCUGUGUAUGGCUCCUACCAAUAUAAUGUUUCACACACCUGUUUAUAAGGAUGUUUGGUAUAGCCCAGAAGCAUAUACAUUGCCAAUAUGUAACACACAGGAGAUUAUCCUAAAGCUAUGGUUGAGGAUGUUUACACAGGACAGUUACCUUUAGGAUCCAGUGUUAUGUCUGAAGAAGAAAAUGGGGGAAAAAAUGCCUGUGGUCCAUAAGGGGUUAAUAAAAAUGAUCCCUCGACUGCACACCUGACAUGAAGUUAAUUUUGCUUAAUAAAGGUUUUAUAAACGGAGCUCAUUGAUAUCCCUCUAAUCCCUGUUUUCUGAACUAGUCGUACUUGUAAUCAUAAAAGCUGUUUAAAGUGAUUUGAGAAGGAUUAGCUAUAUAUAUUUUUUUCUUCUUAGUCACUUUUUCAGUUUGUUUUCUUUCAUUCUUACUUUAAGGUAUUGACGGCUACCUAUUUGACGCACAUAGUGUCAUAGGGGGAUGUGGUUUAAUUACUGCUGUUCUGUCACUGCUUUGAUGUGUUCCAUAUGUUCCAUUUUAGAAUUACGUUACAAAUAAGCACUCUAUUCAUUACUCAAUAUCACACAUAUCUCAACUAGUUGAACAAAAAUAUAUUCCGAAAUCUAUUUGUUUGUUUUUUUUUUUUUGUUUGUUUUUUUUUACGUUCAGACUUGUACAUUUGUAUUAUUUGUUAUCACUGUAUUAUAGAUAUUUUCUUACUCUGCUGGGAUUUAUUAAUGCAUAUUUUAUUGCGAUUGUAUGGAAAAGAUUGGAUAUACUUUCUUUUUAAAACAAAAAAAAAACAGGUGACCUGUUUUCUAUACAUUGAUAAAGAGAUUGUGAGUGUUUUCAAAAGUUAUUGUAUUAAAAGGUUUGUGAAAGGAAAUGAUCAGUUCUGUUUUAUUUAAUGAACUACUGUUACAGCAAACCCAAGUAUUACUAAUGCGGGUAGAUUUGUUUUUAGGUAUAAAGUAAUGCAUAGUGACUGUGUUUUAUGGCAGACAAAUAUUACUUGGAAUGUCUGUUCUUGGAAAAAUUUAAAGGGG
rnacentral:lncRNA from 1 species